GCCUGGCUAGCUCAAUCGGUAGAGCGUGAGACUCUUAGUUACUAGCUCUUCAAGAUGCUGUAAUCGAGUACAUCUCAAGGCUGCGGGUUCGAUCCCCGCGUUGGGCU